rnacentral:lncRNA from 1 species
GUUCGGUUAUGGUUAUGAUUUCAUUUUUAAAGGGUUAAGACAAGAAUUCAUUCAAACUGUAAAGCAAUUAAAGUGCCUGCAAGUUUUAGUAAUUUUAAACCCGAUUGUCACCUUAUUGUAGAUUGGAGCAAUUUGCUAUGGCGAACCUAUUUUUUUUUUUAUUUCAAUCCAUAUCUCAAAUCUGAAAAGUUGGAAAUAAAUCAGACAAAACCUCCUCGAGAUGAAACACCAGACAACAUGCGAAAAUGGAUGAAAUUUGGAAAAUUAGGCAGGACUGGUGUUUUCAGUAAAACAAAAACACAAGAUGAGCAACUUGGCCAAAAAAAUGAAGAUAGACUAAUAAAAGAAAAACAAAACCAGACAGAGUAAAAAUAAAAAAAAAGACAGGACAGAGAUAACUAAAACAAGAAUGUGUCCUCAGUACACGAAUGCCCCACUCGCACUAUCAUUUUCCAUGUUCAGUGGACCGUGAAAUUGGGGUAAAAACUCUAAUUUGGCAUUAAAAUUAGAAAGAUCAUAUCAUAGGGGACAUGUGUACUAAGUUUGAAGUCGAUUGGACUUAAACUUCAUCAAAAACUACCUUGACCAAAAACUUUAACCUGAAGCGGGACAGACGGACGGACGAACGAACGGACAGACGGACGGACGCACAGACCAGACAACAUAAUGCCCCUCUACUAUCGUAGGUGGGGCAUAAAAAAAUGCAGGACCUUAAAUUUUCAGCCUACUAACGGAUUCGGAAACAAGGUUUACCUUAAAUGAUAGGUGUAUUUAAAAAAAUAUAACAUGC